CAUAAAGGAACUCAGUCUAAGAAACGCCACGUCCUGUGGCAAUGACUGAGUGUCCAACAUCAUGUUGU
rnacentral:sRNA from 1 species